rnacentral:rRNA from 1 species
AUAACAUUUGGAAACAGAUGCUAAUACCGCAUAGAUCCAAGAACCGCAUGGUUCUUGGCUGAAAGAUGGCGUAAGCUAUCGCUUUUGGAUGGACCCGCGGCGUAUUAGCUAGUUGGUGAGGUAACGGCUCACCAAGGCGAUGAUACGUAGCCGAACUGAGAGGUUGAUCGGCCACAUUGGGACUGAGACACGGCCCAAACUCCUACGGGAGGCAGCAGUAGGGAAUCUUCCACAAUGGACGCAAGUCUGAUGGAGCAACGCCGCGUGAGUGAAGAAGGCUUUCGGGUCGUAAAACUCUGUUGUUGGAGAAGAAUGGUCGGCAGAGUAACUGUUGCCGGCGUGACGGUAUCCAACCAGAAAGCCACGGCUAACUACGUGCCAGCAGCCGCGGUAAUACGUAGGUGGCAAGCGUUAUCCGGAUUUAUUGGGCGUAAAGCGAGCGCAGGCGGUUUUUUAAGUCUGAUGUGAAAGCCCUCGGCUUAACCGAGGAAGCGCAUCGGAAACUGGGAAACUUGAGUGCAGAAGAGGACAGUGGAACUCCAUGUGUAGCGGUGAAAUGCGUAGAUAUAUGGAAGAACACCAGUGGCGAAGGCGGCUGUCUGGUCUGUAACUGACGCUGAGGCUCGAAAGCAUGGGUAGCGAACAGGAUUAGAUACCCUGGUAGUCCAUGGCCGUAAACGAUGAAUGCUAGGUGUUGGAGGGUU